GAAAUAUUCUCCUGUAAUUUGAUACUAGUUCACAAUGGAUUAAUGUUGAAUUGCAAUUGUACUAUUGUAUUAAAAAACUGUUCCUCCAGAAAUAGAUCAGAUAUCAUGAGUCUAUCUAGAAAUUAUAUAGGUGAUGACAGUAUAUUCAUAUGCUUUUAUUUUCCAUUUACACCAAUUUGCAAUUUUUUGUUCAUAGAAUACAGAGCAGGUAUACUGCAUCACAAUUGGCCUAAUACCUAUAAGAUCUUUAUGUAACUUGAUGAAACGAAAAAGCUGUGGACAUGGUGUUGAUACCUAUAAAUCAAUUAAAAAAUCUGGCAGUUUUUUGUUCUUCAUUAACCUGACAAUUCUAGCUGUCAGUUUAUAAAUAAGAUCCUCAUACAUCAUAACUGAUUCAGUUUUAUUAAUAUAAUUAUAUAAC
rnacentral:lncRNA from 1 species